GGUUUUGAAUUCGAGAAUCAAAUUGUAUCUUGCCUCAAAUUGUUCCGUUCGUAGUGGUCAAAGUACCCAAAAUUGUUUGACUAAAUCCGGUACGGAUCCCAUACCCACACUCAUACUAGCGCCGUGUCGACACGGGUACGGCACCUAAACUGCCAUGUCAGAGCAACUUAGGUUCUACCCUUAUCAUUUAUUACACUUAGAUUUUAAGUCAAGUGAGAAACUGCUUGUCUGGUGCAAUGGUUAGUGCCUUCACUUGUUCUUCCCAAGUUCCACCUUCUAAGAUCAUCUAAUCUUAAGUUGCAGUAGUCCAAGCUGAUUGUUCAGUAUUUGCAUUGUCGUCAUUAUUUAUGUCUAUGUAUCUGUGUGAAGUAUUAGCAUGAUGCAGGCAAAUGCGUAGUUAUAGGUGUCUAUUGUGUUACGUAAUGGGUAUUGUGAACAUUGCGGUAGAACCGGGAAGAUUAGAACCUAGAGUUUCAACAGCAUAUUCAAGAAUGGGGAUAUGAUACUGUAAAGGUGAACUAACUUCCAAGAUUUGAACAGGUGCACAUUUCAAGAAAUGGUGCAUUAUGCAGUCUAAAAUUAAGGCAGGAGCUGUUGACGAGUACAAGAAGGAGGUUUCGACAAUGAUCCAAAUGGCUCGUUCAUAUGUUGAAUCCAGAAACUCAGGAAGUGAAACACAAAACGUUGCGUCUGGGCCUUCCGUUACUUAAGAAACUGCUAGUUUAGGGUAAGGUAUACUUAGUCUUAGGAAUCUUGUAAGUGUUCCAUAUUUCUGUUUUGUUUCUUUGCAAGUAAAAUAGUACUAUAAGUCCAUGUAAUUUCAUCACAAUCUUUUGAUAGCAACUGCACCCUAUUCCCCAAACGGAGGUCAAGUGGUGCGCUUUUAUAAUCUAUGGACACAAUAUUUGUAUUAAUGAUAGCUGAUUUUUUCUGGUGUCCUCAAUA